rnacentral:rRNA from 1 species
UACGUAGGGGGGCUAGCGUUGUCCGGAAUCAUUGGGCGUAAAGCGCGUGUAGGCGGUCCGGUAAGUCCGCUGUGAAAGUCGGGGGGCUCAACCCUCGAAUGCCGGUGGAUACUGUCGGGCUAGAGUGCGGAAGAGGCGAGUGGAAUUCCUGGUGUAGCGGUGAAAUGCGCAGAUAUCAGGAGGAACACCAAUUGCGAAGGCAGCUCGCUGGGACGUUACUGACGCUGGAGACGCGAAAGCGUGGGGAGCAAACAGG